UCACUUUGGCAGUACAUGUAUUAAAAUUGGAACAACAGAGAGAAGAUUAGCAUAACCCCUGCAUAAGGACAACAUAUAAAUUUGUGAAGUAUUUCAUAUUGUU